GAUCUAUCUAGUUGGGGAUACACUCAGGGAACUCACUAUACUCCAGGUCAUACCGGAUAUACAGGAUAUACAGCUGGAUAUGACAAUAUCCAAGAAAAUACAGAAUCCUACAAUUAUUCAUAUUUCCAGAAUGAAGGUAGUGAAUGGGAGGAGGGCCCUGCCCCCAGUGCUCCACGCUACGAGGACCUGGUUGGAACACGCCCACCUCUAUACCCAGACAACCCUGGUCCUCCACCCACUGGGCGGGGAUUCAUUCUACGCAGUGAUGAGGGACUAGAUGAGUUGAGGAGGAGAAGAUUAGAGCGGUUCUCCUGACAUGAGGGGAGGAGGUCCAGCACCUCCAGGUCCUCCUCCUAUACCCACUCCACGUCCUCCUCCUUCAUCCACUCAAGGUCCUCCUACUCCUCUAGAUCCUCUAGAAGUUGUUCCAGAGAAAGUUCAGUUUUUUCAAGAUCUGUGACCCCUGAAUCUACCCAUUCCCUUCAACGUGAAAGGUCAAUCAGUACAACUAGCAGCCAGUCAAAGAGUACACAAAGUACAAGAAGUACACCUGCCUUAAGAUCUCAGAGUACAGAGAGUACAGAUUCAGACCAAACUAUUCACAAUCAUUUAUCUCAAAAUAGUUUUCAUAAUUCAGGACAACAUAUUAAACAAGGACAAGACAAUGAUGAGGACAAGAGUCCUAAUAUUAGUCCUGGAGAGAGGACGGUAUUUAAUGAGGACAAGAAUACAGUAUCAGUUUCCCCUGCUAGAUAGUAGAGACCUAGAAUCUGAAUCCAAAGUCUGAUGUGAUUUUAACCUCUAGCAUAAAUCAUAAUUUCCAUUUUCCUUCUACAAACCCUCCUUUGGAGACUUAGAGGAUAGAUUUCAGAGAUUCAAACGAGUAUUCUACCAACUUCAUGAAAAUCACACUUGACUUGUAAAAGUAAUUAUUGUUAAUUAAUUAUUAACGCCUUAACAGCAGUGCUUAAAAUUCGGCUUAGCUAGAGACUGACUGAAUAAAAGACCAAUAUGUUCGGAGUCCAUUUUUUUUGUAAUUUGAAAAUUCUAAUUGUGUUAUCAAUCUAUUUAAUGUACUUGGUAAUUAUUAACCUUUAGUUCAAAACUCAUUUUUAACAUUUAAGGUUCAUAAACUUUAAGGCAAAUUAAAUCCAUAAAAAUCGCACAAUAUGAAGAAGAGCUUUUCUUUUUAUCACGUUUGACAGGCAGGUGGUGGCAUUAAAUUCAGCAUUGGAUUUUUUGUUUCUUCAAAUAUUAAGUAAAACUAGUUUGCCAUCAAUCCGACUUCAAAUUCAUAAAUCCAACUUUUCGGGCCUUUUAUACAGUAAAACCCUAAGGUUUAACUGUAUGUUUAUUUAAUCUUGAUCUAAAUUUUUAAGUGAUAUUUUAUCUGAAUGUACAAAAGUUUUUUUACAGUAUUGAUUUUGCCACAAUAGUUAUUCAUCUUCCCAACCAGUAGUUUUAUUAUUGCUACUUGUUUUGUUUAUAUUAAUUACUAACUUUUCAUAUUAAAACAGGUUGUUAAUGUUGUUGUCAUGUAAUUAAUUAAAACUAUGUUUAACAUGUUUGUAGUUUGUUAUUAUAAACAUAAAAAUUAUUAAAAAUCAUUCCCGUGUAAAA